CCUACGGGAGGCAGCAGUGAGGAAUAUUGGUCAAUGGGCGCGAGCCUGACCCAGCCAAGCCGCGUGAAGGAUGACUGCCCUACGGGUUGUAAACUCCUUUUAUAAAGGAAUAAAGUGAGGCACGUGUGCCUUUUUGUAUGUACUUUAUGAAUAAGGAUCGGCUAACUCCGUUACAGCAGCCGCGGUAAUACGGAGGAUCCGAGCGUUAUCCGGAUUUAUUGGGUUUAACGGGAGCGUAGAUGGGUUGUUAAGUCAGUUGUGAAAGUUUGCGGCUCAACCGUAAGAUUGCAAUUGAUACUGGCAGCCUUGAGUACAGUAGAGGUAGGCGGAAUUCGUGGUGUAGCGGUGAAAUGCGUAGAUAUCACGAAGAACACCGAUGGCGAAGGCAGCUUGCUAAACUGCCACUGACGUUGAUGCUCGAAAGUGUGGGGAGCAAACAGGAUUAGAUACCCCUGUAGUC
rnacentral:rRNA from 1 species